GGGCCCGUGGCGCAGAGGCAGACGCGCCGCCCUCCACAGGCGGAACACGUCGGUUCGAAUCCGGCCGGGCCCG
rfam:Kitasatospora griseola strain MF730-N6 RKJC_2, whole genome shotgun sequence.